AUGGAGCGGAAUGGCUCUCUGUCUCUGCAAUCUAAGAGAAGCUCGAAAGUUUCUGAGGUUGCUGACGAAUCCACUGUUGUCGAGUGCCUUGGGCGCUGAUUGGGCGCUGAUGCUGUAGGUGGAAGUCAUCUGCUGUAGAAGCUCGGAUGGAAUUUUCUAUUGGAGAAGUCCGAUUUCAUGAGGAAUCUAGCAAAGGGUCGACCGACAGUGGACUUCGGAUGGCAUUGUGGAGGUUCGUCCGUUGGAGGAGUCUUGAAGACACUAUGGAAGGUCGAACGUUGGAGGAGUCCGGGAUAUGGUUCUACUGUAGAAGUUCGGAUGGAGUC
rnacentral:lncRNA from 1 species